GGACUACUAGGGUUUCUAAUCCCGUUUGCUCCCCUAGCUUUCGCGCCUCAGCGUCAGAAGAGGUCCAGCACGUCGCUUUCGCCACCGGCGUUCCUCCAGAUAUCUACGCAUUUCACCGCUCCACCUGGAGUUCCACAUGCCCCUACCUCCCUCCAGACAACCAGUAUCAGGGGCUGUUUUCCGGUUGAGCCGAAAGAUUUCACCCCUGACUUGAUCGCCCGCCUACGCGCCCUUUAAGCCCAGUGAAUCCGAACAACGUUCGCACGGUUCGUCUUACCGCGGCUGCUGGCAC
rnacentral:rRNA from 1 species